GAUGAACGCUGGCGGCGUGCUUAACACAUGCAAGUCGAACGGGAAUUACUUUAUUGAAACUUCGGUCGAUUUAAUUUAAUUCUAGUGGCGGACGGGUGAGUAACGCGUGGGUAACCUGCCUUAUACAGGGGGAUAACAGUCAGAAAUGACUGCUAAUACCGCAUAAGCGCACAGAGCUGCUUGGCUCAGUGCGAAAAACUCCGGUGGUAUAAGAUGGACCCGCGUUGGAUUAGCUAGUUGGUGAGGUAACGGCCCACCAAGGCGACGAUCCAUAGCCGGCCUGAGAGGGUGAACGGCCACAUUGGGACUGAGACACGGCCCAGACUCCUACGGGAGGCAGCAGUGGGGAAUAUUGCACAAUGGGGGAAACCCUGAUGCAGCGACGCCGCGUGAAGGAAGAAGUAUCUCGGUAUGUAAACUUCUAUCAGCAGGGAAGAAUUAGGACGGUACCUGACUAAGAAGCCCCGGCUAACUACGUGCCAGCCGCCGCGGUAACAC
rnacentral:rRNA from 1 species